UACAGGGGGGGCAAGCGUUGUUCGGAAUUACUGGGCGUAAAGGGCUCGUAGGUGGCCAACUAAGUCAGACGUGAAAUCCCUCAGCUUAACUGGGGAACUGCGCCUGAUACUGGAUGGCUUGAGUUUGGGAGAGGGAUGCGGAAUUCCAGGUGUAGCGGUGAAAUGCGUAGAUAUCUGGAGGAACACCGGUGGCGAAGGCGGUUCUCUGGGCAUUACCUGACGCUGAGGAGCGAAAGUGUGGGGAGCGAACAGG
rnacentral:rRNA from 1 species